CAUAAAUUUUCUUGAUAGUAUGAAAACAGAAGGUUUUUAUUUUAUCCGGUACUUACGCUAGCGGCGAUAAGUUUUUGUUUGGUGGUAGUUUACAAAAAUACAUAUAUUUACCUGAAAAACAGUUCUGAUCGCCUUGCACAGCGUGGGUAUAGAGCUGUCGGUCAUGUUUGAUAAUUAAAGCCUGGUAUCUGCCGUGUGUUCGUACUGCCAACAAAUACACUACCACUUCGUCUAUCGAAGACCAGAAAAUAUAGGGGCAGUUGCGUGCUGUUAGAACUACAAAGGCCGUUAAUGCUCUUAAAGGCAGAAUUCGUCAAAUCUGCAUUAAGCAAAAUGAUAAAAUUUACACUAACAGUUCUAAGGAGCUACUAAAUUAGUCAGAAAGAUACAAUAUUGUCAUCAUCCCGAGACAGUAAUUUGCUGGGGUUCGUUUUAUAAAGGACUCACAAUAUUACGAUUUUAUCAACAUUUUGACUGAAAACUUUAGCUAAAGCCGAACUCUGCAUUUGGUUACAAGAGGUGUACCUCCUAAAUUUGCCUUAAUACCAGCUUUCCGGACAUUAUAAGAGCUUAAUAUUGGCCCUCAUCUAGACCAAAAAAAAAACCGUUGAGACUUAUAAUUUCGUCAGUUUUAGAAAACAUGGUCUGAUCUAAACGACACGGCGAUAUAGAGUCUUUGAAAAAAUCUUUGAGACAAGCAGUGGCGAAAUUUUCUUCGAAAACAGAGCCUGAUUCUAUAGAUUCCUGGCCAAAUAAAGUAAAAACUGUAUAAAAGACCAUGUUGAUCAUUUCCAAUAGGAAAUUUAUUUUCAUUUUUGCUGAAACCUUUAAAAUAUGUAGUUUUAAUAAUAUGAUAUUACCUUGUAGUUUUAAUAAUAUUAUAUUAUAUUUUUAAUAAUAUUAUAUUGAAUUUAAAAAAAGGAUAUUUAUUUGUAACAGAACUUAUGGUUGGACUAGGUUUAACGUCAUCAAUUAUUUUCCUAGUUGAAAAGGGACAUUUUUAUCUUUUUCUUAUGGUUUUACUAAGUACAUUUUUAAAAACAAUACUAACAUUUUUUACCAAAGACUGAAAAAUGUAUAGUUAGCUAUUACACAAAUAGACUUUAAGAGUUUAAGCUUAUUUUAUACGCCCAAAUGCCGUCUUCUGUUAGUAUAACUAUUAUAACAUUUGAAUUAAGUGUCUGUGAAUCAUAUCGUUAAUGGAAUUAAUUUAAAUGGAAUAUUAUUUUUGGUUCUAUUCUGUCCGGU